rnacentral:sRNA from 1 species
UUUGAGUUUGCGAGAAGGAUGGAAACGGCAUCCUUUUUUUAGCACUAUUUUUUAUGAAAAAAUAGUGCUAAAAAAAGAUAUAGUGUACAGCCUGACUUUUG